AGGUGGGGCGGCGCGGCUGGACACCCCGGGAGCUGCCUGCAGUGUUCAGGAGGGGCCCGGCCAGAAAGCAGGUUCAUGACCUGCGGGGGAGUCUAAAUUUGUCUCAGCAGAUUUUCACCUGUUCAACUCUGUUCUGGGAUCAGCUAUAGACUACAAGCUGAGAUCUGGACUUCCUGAAAACUGACCUGAUUGCUCCCUGCCUCUUCCGGUGGAUCAACUGACCAGAUGCUUGGGACUGCCCUAUUGCCCAGCUUUUGACUGGCAUUUCAGCCUCCCCAGUCCCUGAUGCCUACGUCCAACGGUCAGCAUGAAGAAGCUCCAGAAGACGGAUCUCCGCCCAAAUCCCCCCUAACAGGCUGAAAUGCUAAGUCAAAAGUGGCUCCCUGACAUUAGCUAUUAUCUUGAGCAUCUGCUUAGCUGCUGACCAUACUAAAUUGACAAGAGAUGCUUUAGUCAGUCCCCCUGGUUCACCACCCUCGUUUCCUCCCUCAUGGGCCCCCUAAUCAUAAUUCUCCUGAUUCUACUAGUUGGGCCUUGUAUUCUAAAUUGGCUGAUCCAGUUCAUAAAAGACCGGUUCUCUGUCGUACAAGCGUUAGUGUUGACCCAGCAAUAUCAUCAGCUCAAACAACAGGGGACAGAAUUUAACUCUUCCUAGGCCCGAGAAUGGAAGAUUCCAUUCUAAGUUAAAAGAAAAUGGGGGAAUGAAAGACCCCAGCCUCACACUAAGUUAAACAUAGCUAAUGCCAUUUUGUGAGACACCACUGUUUUGUAAAACUCUGAAGGCCAGAUGAGAAACUGGAAAAUUACUGAGAAAUCCUAGCUGUGUCACCCACUUGGGAUAUCUGUGGUCAGGCUGCCCCAGUCAUACUAAAAACAGUUUGUGUUAAUCACUCUCAUAGAUAUCUGUGAGACUGUUUCAGCUAAGAUAGGGAAAAACAAAAUAACAGGUGGCGGGCCACGUCAAGGGGUCAUCCUACCCCCCUUGACCACCCAGUUCCUGGAAUCUUGGUGCCCCUGCCAAACUUUGACGCAAAUUGUGGUCUCGUGUAAACGUACCAAUCAGCCCCCUGUAACCAUGCCCUCUCGUGUCUGUACCAGUGCUACUGCCUCUAAAACCCUAUAAAAACCCCAGCUUCCCAUCUAGGGGGCGCGGAAGUCUUCCGAAAGACUUUUUGCCCCGGGUACCUGUGUAUCAAAAUAAAAGCCUCUUGCUGUUUGCAUCCGAA